rnacentral:rRNA from 1 species
GAUGAACGCUGGCGGCGUGCCUAAUACAUGCAAGUCGAGCGAACAGACGAGGAGCUUGCUCCUCUGACGUUAGCGGCGGACGGGUGAGUAACACGUGGAUAACCUACCUAUAAGACUGGGAUAACUUCGGGAAACCGGAGCUAAUACCGGAUAAUAUAUUGAACCGCGUGGUUCAAUAGUGAAAGACGGUUUUGCUGUCACUUAUAGAUGGAUCCGCGCCGCAUUAGCUAGUUGGUAAGGUAACGGCUUACCAAGGCAACGAUGCGUAGCCGACCUGAGAGGGUGAUCGGCCACACUGGAACUGAGACGCGGUCCAGACUCCUACGGGAGGCAGCAGUAGGGAAUCUUCCGCAAUGGGCGAAAGCCUGACGGAGCAACGCCGCGUGAGUGAUGAAGGUCUUCGGAUCGUAAAACUCUGUUAUUAGGGAAGAACAAAUGUGUAAGUAACUAUGCACGUCUUGACGGUACCUAAUCAGAAAGCCACGGCUAACUACGUG